CGUUACUCAGUUCAGAUUGCAGGCUGCAACCCGCCUGCAUGAAGUCGGAAUUGCUAGUAAUCGCGGAUCAGCAUGCCGCGGUGAAUACGUUCCCGGGCCUUGUACACACCGCCCGUCACACCAUGGGAGCCGGUAAUACCCGAAGUCAGUAGUCCAACCACGUGAGGACGCUGCCGAAGGUAGGAUUGGCGACUGGGGUGAAGUCGUAACAAGGUACC
rnacentral:rRNA from 1 species